CAGGAGAUUCUUCUAUGUCCGCUUAACAGCUGAGUAUCAUUGACUGACUUUGGCUGUUUCACAGAACCAGCAGUUUGCAGCGAGAGUUGACCGCAGAAUCAUGGACAACAGCAGGAGAUUUUCAGUGGUGGACCCAACCCCCCAGCUCCAGAGUGAGGAGAGAUGUGUGGUUUCACUCCUUCAUUCCUCCAAUGUGUUCACUGCGAUAAUCAUCAUCAUCAGCACACAUCAUCACCCUGGAGGAAGACUACAGUAACUCAGAGCUGUUAGGGUUAGUUAGUCUGAAUUUUCACAUGAGAGAGAGAGAGAGAGAGAGAGAGAAUACAGAGUAAGGGGGAGAGAAAGUGAUGGAGAAAGUGAGCCAGAG